GACGAACGCUGGCGGCGUGCUUAACACAUGCAAGUCGAACGGAAAGGCCCUGCUUUUGUGGGGUGCUCGAGUGGCGAACGGGUGAGUAACACGUGAGUAACCUGCCCUUGACUUUGGGAUAACUUCAGGAAACUGGGGCUAAUACCGGAUAGGAGCUCCUGCUGCAUGGUGGGGGUUGGAAAGUUUCGGCGGUUGGGGAUGGACUCGCGGCUUAUCAGCUUGUUGGUUGGGUAGUGGCUUACCAAGGCUUUGACGGGUAGCCGGCCUGAGAGGGUGACCGGCCACCUGGGGACUGAGAUACGGCCCAGACUCCUAUGGGAGGCAACAGUGGGGAGUAUUGCACAAUGGGCGGGAGCCUGAUGAAGAAGCCCCGCGUGCGGGAUGACGGCCUUCGGGGUGUAAACCGCUUUCGCCUGUGACGAAGCGUGAGUGACGGUACUGGGUAAAGAAGCACCGGCUAACUACGUG
rnacentral:rRNA from 1 species